rnacentral:tRNA from 1 species
GGGCCCGUAGCUCAGCAUGGACAGAGCAGUAGACAUGUGAGCUAAAGGUCCAGGGUUCAAAUCCCUGCGGGCCCGCCA